rnacentral:rRNA from 1 species
GAUGAACGCUGGCGGCGUGCCUAAUACAUGCAAGUCGAGCGAACGGACGAGAAGCUUGCUUCUCUGAUGUUAGCGGCGGACGGGUGAGUAACACGUGGAUAACCUACCUAUAAGACUGGGAUAACUUCGGGAAACCGGAGCUAAUACCGGAUAAUGUUUUGAACCGCAUGGUUCAAAAGUGAAAGACGGUCUUGCUGUCACUUAUAGAUGGAUCCGCGCUGCAUUAGCUAGUUGGUAAGGUAACGGCUUACCAAGGCAACGAUGCAUAGCCGACCUGAGAGGGUGAUCGGCCACACUGGAACUGAGACACGGUCCACACUCCUACGGGAGGCAGCAGUAGGGAAUCUUCCGCAAUGGGCGAAAGCCUGACGGAGCAACGCCGCGUGAGUGAUGAAGGUCUUCGGAUCGUAAAACUAUGUUAUUAGGGAAGAACAUAUGUGUAAGUAACUGUGCACAUCUUGACGGUACCUAAUCAGAAAGCCACGGCUAACUACGUG